rnacentral:rRNA from 1 species
UACGUAGGCGCCAAGCGUUGUUCGGAAUUACUGGGCGUAAAGGGCUCGUAGGCGGCCAACUAAGUCAUACGUGAAAUCCCUCAGCUUAACUGGGGAACUGCGUGUGAUACUGGAUGGCUUGGAUUUGGGAGAGGGAUGCGGAAUUCCAGGUGUAGCGGUGAAAUGCGUAGAUAUCUGGAGGAACACCGGUGGCGAAGGCGGCAUCCUGGACCAAUAUUGACGCUGAGGAGCGAAAGCUAGGGGAGCAAACGGG